GGCGGCGUGGCCAAGUGGUAAGGCAAGAGUCUGCAAAACUCUGAUCAGCGGUUCGAUUCCGCUCGCCGCCU
rnacentral:tRNA from 1 species